GAUAGGUGUCGGUACCCCAGAAC
rnacentral:miRNA from 1 species